GAAGGUAUAUUUCAGUGGUAGAGUGCGUACUUAGCAUGUGCAAGAUCCUGGGUUCAAUCCCCAAUAUCUCUA
rnacentral:tRNA from 1 species